rnacentral:rRNA from 1 species
UACGUAGGGGGCUAGCGUUGUCCGGAUUUAUUGGGCGUAAAGAGCGUGUAGGCGGCCAGGUAGGUCCGCUGUGAAAACUCGAGGCUCAACCUCGAGCUGUCGGCGGAAACCAUCUGGCUAGAGUGCGGCAGAGGGGGGUGGAAUUCCACGUGUAGCAGUGAAAUGCGUAGAUAUGUGGAGGAACACCGAUGGCGAAGGCAGCCCCCUGGGUCGACACUGACGCUCAUGCACAAAAGCGUGGGGAGCAAACAGG